rnacentral:rRNA from 1 species
UACGGGGGGGGCAAGCGUUGUUCGGAAUUACUGGGCGUAAAGGGCUCGUAGGUGGCCAACUAAGUCAGACGUGAAAUCCCUCGGCUUAACCGGGGAACUGCGUCUGAUACUGGAUGGCUUGAGUUUGGGAGAGGGACGCGGAAUUCCAGGAGUAGCGGUGAAAUGCGUAGAUAUCUGGAGGAACACCGGUGGCGAAGGCGGCAUCCUGGACCGGCAUUGACGCUGAGGCGCGAAAGCCAGGGGAGCAAACGGG